AGAGUUUGAUCCUGGCUCAGAACGAACGCUGGCGGCAGGCUUAACACAUGCAAGUCGAACGGUCUCUUCGGAGGCAGUGGCAGACGGGUGAGUAACGCGUGGGAAUCUACCCAGUUCUACGGAAUAACGCAGGGAAACUUGCGCUAAUACCGUAUACGCCCUACGGGGGAAAGAUUUAUCGGAAUUGGAUGAGCCCGCGUAAGAUUAGCUAGUUGGUGAGGUAAUGGCUCACCAAGGCGACGAUCUUUAGCUGGUCUGAGAGGAUGAUCAGCCACACUGGGACUGAGACACGGCCCAGACUCCUACGGGAGGCAGCAGUGGGGAAUAUUGGACAAUGGGCGCAAGCCUGAUCCAGCCAUGCCGCGUGGGUGAUGAAGGCCCUAGGGUUGUAAAGCCCUUUCGGCGGGGAAGAUAAUGACGGUACCCGCAGAAGAAGCCCCGGCUAACUUCGUGCCAGCAGCCGCGGUAAUAC
rnacentral:rRNA from 1 species